ensembl:snRNA U6 U6 spliceosomal RNA
UUGCUUCCGCAGCCCAUGUACUAAAAUUGGAACGAUACAGAGAUUAGCAUAGUCCCUGCGCAAAGAUGACACGCAAAUUCGUGAAGCGUUCCAUAUUUUU